AUUCUACAUGCACCCGUCUCUCUAUCCCCACGAGAACACGAACCAUCCCGGCCACCCGGCGCUAGGGUUCCCUCCGCUCCCAGCAACCCUGUCCACUCUCUCCCAUCCCCAGUCGUCGUCGUAGCCCCUCGACGCCGUUCGAUAUCCAAGACGGAGCCUCGGCCGACAACUCCUUGGAGCACGCCGCCCGCCGGUGGAUGCCCUGGUUCUGCGCGACCCCGCCAGAGACUCACCUCGCCACCUUGGCGCCUCCCGAAGGAUCUCCGCCACCGCCUAGCGCUUCUGUGCGCAAGGAUGCCGACGCCUCUCCCUGGCCCUCCUGGCGGACAGCCUCCAGCCCACACAAGCUUCCCUGUUUUGGCUCUGUUGGCUACCAUGGUUGAGUAGAGCGAGAUUCAAUGAUGACAACACGCACACCUUUCCCUGAUGCUUGGGCAAAGGCAUGUAUGUCCGAUGUGCAGGCAAAACUUUAUAGAUGCAGAUUACAUACAUUAGAAAUUGCCAACUCGGUGGAUGAUAAAUACUAUGACUUGGGACUCAGAAAAAAGAUCAACACGUAGAUGCAGAUUACAUAGAUCAGGACUUGCUAACUCGGCGUAUGACACAUACUAAACGACAUCAACACGUAGGUAUGAGAGUUCGGAAUAUCCAACAUUUGCUAACUACUUUUUAAUUGCUUCGUCCUCUACCUGCAAUUACAACUUCAGUGUGCUUGAUUUUCAAUUAGCCAAGUGCAUUUGUUGGUUUUAGUUCUUUUCUAUAUACAAUUAAUUAUCAAUAGGUUUGAUGAUACUUCAGAACAACAUAUCAAUGUUAGAGGCUUAUUUUAUGUUAUUUGGACUAGCAGUUUUUGUUCUGCCAAUAGAAAUAAUAAAUGAGGGAUUUCCCCAGUUUUUUUCUCCCAUGUUGUUUUGACCAUGAUGUACCAGAUUUUCAAUGUGGAAAACAAUUAGAAUUGCACUUUUCAGGGGAUGUACUUUAGUUGGUGUGCAUGCCUUGGUUCAUUGUUGCCUAGACAAGCUAGAGAAUUUUUGCUGUGAGAAAAUGUAUGGACAUUUGAUGAUUAGGGUUAAGAAAAUAUUAUGAUAACAUGGUUUGGCUUAAUACACUAGGUUGUUCGCUACCUUGAGGAGCUCGAGAAACUUAUUGAAGUGCUUAUAUUUUAAUUAUAAGUUUUGAUUCUUAUGUUGGAGACAUGACUAUGCAAGGAAGUGGUGAGAGAAUUUUGCAGUAGCUUUAUAGUGAUGUUUAGAUAAUUACCAUUUAGAUUAACAAAGAAAACAACUGGGAGCUGCUUUUAGAAUUUCAUUUAUUAUUUGUUAGACCAUGAUCAUCUGCCGAUAAUUAUUUUCCUCAAUAGUUUUUCCUUUAUUACUGAUAUUUUCAUGGCAUUUCAAUUGAUGCACCCUAAUCUAAUAUCUACAAACUUCAUUUACACAACACAAUUGAUUGUUGCUGAUGUAGGUGAGACCAUUGACUAUUAGAGGUGAGUCGGCAAGCUGUUUUCUUCUAUGGUUUGGCAUGUAACUUUGUGUUCUCUAGCUCUUUUUAGUUUUAUAUUUUUCUAACAAACAAGACCAACCUUACCUUAAGAAGAAAAGCAUCAUUAUAACCAUGAAAAAAAAUCUACUUAAAUGUAAGGCUUUUGUUCGUCUAUUAAGUCAUUACCCGUCUAAACGAGACACAGAAAUAAUGAAUUCUUACAUGGUAAGUUUUUGUUUCAUUUUCAUUCUUUGCCUUAUCCCGUGUUGGAAAAGAAGUUCAAUUGUUUUUUUCUUCACAAUGUACCAAAGAUUCUGAUGAAAGAUGCUUAUUUUUCUCUCAGCUUCAAGAAACAGUCACUAUAUACUCUGUUUUGUAUAUAUUAUGUAGUUGUAAGGAGAUGUUUUAUUUUCUUUAUAUGCUACUAUUUUAACGUCUUGGAAGAGUCCUGAAUUUAUUGGAGACAACAAAGUGGGCGCACCAUUUGAGUUAUUUGGCACCUUGAUGCAGCAAAUCAACACAUGUUUGAGCUACAACGGAGGUCACUUAAAUAAAUCAGCAGAGGAAUAGACUCGGCAAGGAAGGGAGCUACUCCAGUGUAGUCGGUGGAAUUGACUGGCAAAGUAAAUCAUGAAGCUCCUGGUUGGACCAAGAGGCUGAGAAUUGGGGCUGCACCUCCUACAACAGUCAGUUUCGUCGGUGGCCUACCAACAACACUGGUGAAGGAAUAAGGGUGGCCCGAGACCGAUAAUAGGGGGCUCUUGAACUGGCAAAGCAAGAAGCCACCAUCGCUUCAUUGUCCCCGGAGAUCGUUUGGUGAUGUCCGAUGGAUAUCACGUGACGGAGUGGAGACGCACACUCCCCUGCCCCAACUUUGGUGCCGCCACCUACCAAUGCGGGGCACAGUCCUUCCUGACCCAGCCUACAUCUUGAUUGUAAAUUUCUCUCACCUUCUAUCUCGUGUUCAUGUGGUCGUAUUGAUUUUGACUUUUGAGAAGUGUUGAAAGAAGAUUAUGUGCUUCAGACGACUGAAUGUCCAGUAAUAUCAUCAACCUUCAGCCAGCAGCGGCUCCGAACUCUUAUCACCUCAAAUGGUUUAGCAUAGAUCAGUCACAUGUGAGGACGAAAGCUUGGAUCAGCUUCUGUAGUCGCUAUCUUCCAUUUACAACCGAGUUUUCUUAUGGUUAUAGGAUAGAAACUUUGUAUUAUUUUGCCAUCUUCUUUCCUUCAUGAAACUAGCUGCAGCAAGUAGCAAUUUAAAUUGA